rnacentral:tRNA from 1 species
GGGUCAUUGGUGUAAUUGGGAACACACAACACUUGCAAUGUUGAGUAGAGGGUUCGAAUCCCUCAUGUAUCC